CGACCCCAGGAGUGGCAGUUCACAGCCCUGACUGAUCACAGUGUUCCGUGGCCUGUGAUGAAGUAAGUGGGUCAGGGGCCAACACAUAGACAGCGUUGGCCUACAAAUGCAGCCCAGGCAGAGGACGGUGCAGCCAAGCCACACAGAGAGACAACUUCCUAGUGACACGCUGUGAAACGGGCGCUGCGCUCGAUUUCUCGCCGGGCUUUAGCUGCCUUCCCGCGGGGCAGGGCUCGGGACCUGCAGCCCGCCAUGCCUGAGCCUCCCCCACUCUCCGUGAGCUACUGGGCAGCCCAAGCCUCCCCCAAGAGCGCCGCCUCCUGCUCCAGGCGCCCAGUCCCAUCAACCACCCAAGGGCUGAGAAGUGCAGGCACAGGGCGCGGGACUGGCAGGCAGCUCCACCUGGGUGAAGCCAGCUGGGCUCCUGAGUGUGGUGGGGACGUGGAGAACCUUUAUGUCUAGCUCAGGGAUUGUAAACACACCAAUUGGCACUCUGUAUCUACCUCAAAGUUUGUAAACA
rnacentral:lncRNA from 1 species